AAAUUAGUCCGUUCUUUCUCAGUUUGGCGCUGACAAAAUUAGAUUUCUCAAAAUAUUUUCAGUUAUCAAAAUUUGGGUUAUUCAUAUAAAGUCCUAUCGAUUUGACAAUUCAUAACAUUAUGCUCGCCCAAUUGUGCAAGUGUGUAACCAGAAAGAGAAGAAUAUAACAAGUAGUCAAAUAGAUUCCCCUUAUUCUUUUUCUUUUCUAGAAUACUAACCAACUGAAUCUUUAAAAAGCAGUUUGCAAACUAUUUUUAGCUGCCUCUUCUCACAAGUCACCCAUAUAAGUACCACAUAUACAUUCCUUGGAAACAAAAACAACGAGACCUGGCUGCAAAUCAUUCUUUAUUUUCCAUCAAAACCAUGGCGAGAGAAAACCCUUCAACCCUAAUUCUUGGAGAUUCUAUAAGUUUAGCCAAGAUCAAGACCUGAAAGCGCUGAACAUAUCUUCUUCCACUGUCAUAUAUGCGAAGGAGAUCUGGAGUAAUGGACCCUGGAAUCGCCAACUAGAUACUUCACCAAGAUAUUACAGGAAAGCUGGAGGUGGAUUCCUCUACCACCUUAUGGUUUCUCCGGGAACACCUUCCCAUGGAUCUGCUGGGCUAUAUGGCUCGCGAGGAAUCAGCUUGUGUUUGAGAACAAGUCGCAGUCUCCAGAGGAAACAACUCUUCGAGCUCUACUGGCCCUUAAAGAAUGGGAGGACGCCCAGGCCCCUCGUAUCAGCACUAACACACCAAGCUUGCGACCUCCUCAUCAACAUCUCCACCGAUCCCGUGAAGACUCACCGUUUAAUAACCAGGAGAUCUACUGUAACACCGACGCUGCUUGGAUUUCAACAUCACGAACGGCGGGUCUGGCAUGGAUCUUCUCGGACCGUAAUCAGACGGAAUUGGAUCGUGGAUCAAAAGUCCAUGCAUGGGUGAAGCCCUUGCAAUCAGAGAAGCUCUCCUCCACGCUGCUUCUCAAAACUACUCUACAAUCUGUAUCCGAUCAGAUUCCCAAGUGCUUGUCCAAGCAAUCUCCUCUCGCCGGCAUACGACGGAACUCUACGGAGUUCUCUCCGACAUCGACGCGAUUUCUUUCUCUGCAUCUUCUCCCUUUGAUUGUUGUCGUUUCAUUUUCACCCCAAGGGCCAAUAAUGGGCUAGCAGAUGGGCUUGCAAAAGCCUGUCUCUCAUCCCAUAUUGCUUUGGGCUAAACUCAUUUUAAUUUCUGUAUGCUUUAUUAAAAUGAAAUGAAUGCUUGUUGCUCAAAAAAAAAAUCCAAGAUCAAGACCAAAACUCACCGAGUUUACGCCGUUAGGGCUCUUCCUCCAGUAAACCUGGGAGCAAAACUGCCUAUGUUCUCCGACGACACACGCUGGUUCUUUCAGGUGCAGACACCACCGUGCUGAUUCCUUGACUCGUGUCGGGUCUAUCGGGUCGAAUCUCGCUGUGCUAUUGUCGUCCAAGUCGGGCCGGUUUAGUGACUCACUCAAGGCUCAGUAAACCGCUAUAGCGGGAUGUGUUCAGUAUAUAAGGCUCCUAAUGGGAAAAGCGGAACAAGCGUUGCGGAUCUAGCGUAUCAAGCAGAUCGAGUGGAUCGAGAGUGGAUCAAGCAGAUCGAGCGGAUCGAGAGUGGAUCAAGCAGAUCGAACGGAUCGAGAGAGGAUCAAGCGGAUCAAGCGGUCCAAAACAUAUGUUCGAAUGGUAAAAGUGGAUAAAAAGCGGUUCGAAAUACUGUAU
rnacentral:lncRNA from 1 species